UCUCAGGCGCCGCCAGAGCUUGUGCUGGGAUGGCCGGGUCAGCGUCUCUGCUGACAGGAGCUGAGUCUCCUUUAGACUCGCCGGGGCUUGGGCUUCAGGACAAGACGGGGCUGUGUCCAUGCUGACAGGAGCUGGGUUUCCUGACGACCCAGGAGACGCCAAGAGGAAAAGUGGUUCUGCAGGCUCGCCAGUAUCAGCAUGGGCUCCAGGGAACUGAGAGGUUGAGGUCUGUACUUCCCAGCUGGCCAGCAGGCAGCACCAAGUCCACCUCUCUGAUACUUGAGGUGCAUGUGUGUUCCACUGGUGGACUUGGCUCAUGAAGGAACUUGGCUACUUGUGCCGCUGAUAGAAGCUCGGUCUCUUCAGGAUCCACCAUGGUUUCAGCUUUGGGACAACACUUGGCUGAGUCCAUGCACACAAAAACGCAGUGUCUUCAGGAACCACCAGGAGGCACCACCUUGGGAGUAAAAGGUUUCAGGAAAAUCGCUUUGCCUGGCUGGGGAAAGAAGAAGACCCCCAAAUCGUCCGAAGUCCUUGGGUCCUUGUAGCUGGUUGUAUAGAGAACUGGACACAUGCCAAAUGGGCAUUUGGCCUCCCUGCUCAAUCACCUGUAACCAAGCAGGGACAAGCCCUCUUUGAACAGUCUCCUUGAAUGCUGGAGAGGCUCUCUGGGUAAUUUAUUUGGCUAGAGAACCCUUAUUUCACACUCCACCUUCACCCUAUCUCCAGGGACUGCUUGCUGAAAGCACCCACCUACAUCAGGUAUCUCCUACAGCCCCACAGUGGGUCUGGGAAUGUCUAAUUGCUGACUUAAGAGGGGAUCUGGGGGCUUCCCUGGUGGCGCAGUGGCUGAGA